UGGGGAAUAUUGGACAAUGGGCGCAAGCCUGAUCCAGCCAUGCCGCGUGUGUGAAGAAGGCCUUUUGGUUGUAAAGCACUUUAAGCGAGGAGGAGGCUACUUGGAUUAAUACUCUAGGAUAGUGGACGUUACUCGCAGAAUAAGCACCGGCUAACUCUGUGCCAGCAGCCGCGGUAAUACAGAGGGUGCGAGCGUUAAUCGGAUUUACUGGGCGUAAAGCGUGCGUAGGCGGCUUUUUAAGUCGGAUGUGAAAUCCCUGAGCUUAACUUAGGAAUUGCAUUCGAUACUGGGAAGCUAGAGUAUGGGAGAGGAUGGUAGAAUUCCAGGUGUAGCGGUGAAAUGCGUAGAGAUCUGGAGGAAUACCGAUGGCGAAGGCAGCCAUCUGGCCUAAUACUGACGCUGUGGUACGAAAGCAUGGGGAGCAAACAGG
rnacentral:rRNA from 1 species